CCUGACUGCUAUCGGAUUGAUACUAAGCCAUGCGAGCCAUUGUAGUAAUACAAGGCAGACGGCUCAGUAACGCGUAGUCAACCUAACCUAUGGACGGGAAUAACCUCGGGAAACUGAGUAUAAUGCCCGAUAGAACAUUAUGCCUGGAAUGGUUUAUGUUCCAAAUGAUUUAUCGCCGUAGGAUGGGACUGCGGCCUAUCAGUUUGUUGGUGAGGUAAUGGCCCACCAAGACUAUUACAGGUACGGGCUCUGAGAGGAGUGGCCCGGAGAUGGGUACUGAGACACGGACCCAGGCCCUAUGGGGCGCAGCAGGCGAGAAAACUUUGCAAUGUGCGAAAGCACGACAAGGUUAAUCCGAGUGGUUUCUGCUAAAGGAACCUUUUGUUAGUCCUAGAAACACUAACGAAUAAGGGGUGGGCAAGUUCUGGUGUCAGCCGCCGCGGUAAAACCAGCACCUCAAGUGGUCAGGAUGAUUAUUGGGCCUAAGGCAUCCGUAGCCGGCUCUGUAAGUUUUCGGUUAAAUCUGUACGCUCAACGUACAGGCUGCCGGGAAUACUGCAGAGCUAGGGAGUGGGAGAGGUAGACGGUACUCGAUAGGAAGGGGUAAAAUCCUUUGAUCUAUUGAUGACCACCUGUGGCGAAGGCGGUCUACCAGAACACGUCCGACGGUGAGGGAUGAAAGCUGGGGGAGCAAACCGGAUUAGAUACCCGGGUAGUCCCAGCUGUAAACUAUGCAAACUCAGUGAUGCAUUGACUUGUGGUCAAUGCAGUGCUGCAGGGAAGCCGUUAAGUUUGCCGCCUGGGAAGUACGUACGCAAGUAUGAAACUUAAAGGAAUUGGCGGGAGAGCACCACCAAGGGGUGAAGCCUGCGGUUC
rnacentral:rRNA from 1 species